rnacentral:rRNA from 1 species
CCUACGGGUGGCAGCAGUGAGGAAUAUUGGUCAAUGGGCUUACGCCUGAACCAGCCAAGUCGCGUGAGGGAAGACUGCCCUAUGGGUUGUAAACCUCUUUUGUCAGGGAGCAAUUGGCGCUACGUGUAGCGUUAUCGAGAGUACCUUAAGAAAAAGCAUCGGCGAACUCCGUGCCAGCAGCCGCGGUAAUACGGGGGAUGCGUGCGUUAUGCGAAUUUAUUGGGUUUAAAGGGUGCGUAGGCGGAAUGCCAAGUCAGCGGUAAAAGUGCGGGGCUCAACCUCGGUCCGCCGUUGAAACUGGCGAUCUUGAGUGGGCGAGAGGAAUGCGGAA